rnacentral:tRNA from 1 species
AGACCGAUAGCUCAGGUAGUAGAGCGCGCGACUGAUAUUCGCGAGGUCGGCUGUGCAACUCAGCCUCGGUCUACCA